AAACAAAGGUCAGAGAACACGUUUGCCAGGCCGCCGGAGCUUUCUGGGAAUAUUAUGGCCGUCGCAUCCCGUCAAUUCUCCGCACGACAGAAACGACAACACAUCUUGCUGCAGCUAAACGUCUCUGUUGGAGAACAGCUUCAAGAUGAUGGAGUGACUCAUUAACUACACCCAAAAAGUCAAGAUCAGAGAGAUGGCUGGACUGCGCCGAGAUGGCGAUAAGACCAGAGCAGCUCCCCACAAGCGAGGCUUAGCAAGGACUGAGGCGGGAGGCGGCGCCGCGUGUGGGACAGGAGAGCAGAGAUUUGGAGACCUUUCAGAGGUCAGCCAGGAGAGUCUCACCAAUGAGCGCUUCAAAGCAGUUGGCCAUAGCAUGUCGAAGGUCCGACUCCCGGCACAGGUCGGGUCCAUGGGCGUAGAGCAUGAAGCGAUCCAACUCCAGC